AACGCACCUUGCGCUCUUUGGUAUUCCGAAGAGCAUGCCUGUUUGAGUGUCAUUUGAAUACAUCAAACCCCUCGUUUUUGUUUCGAGGGGUUUGGAUUUUGGAGGGUGUGCCGGCCUCUUUUAAGAGGUUUGCUCCUCUGGAAAGCAUUAGCGAAAGGAUUCGCGGGGAAGCGACCUUGGAAGGGCUUUGGUUUGAUAAUGCAAUGUCUAUGCCGUCGCCCUUUUAUUUGCCUUCCACCUUCCUUUGCUUAUAAUCGUCUUCGGACAGCGACAUUCGAAUCGAAUGUUGACGACCUUGACCUCAAAUCAGGUAGGACCACCCGCUGAACUUAA
rnacentral:misc_RNA from 1 species